rnacentral:rRNA from 1 species
GACGAACGCUGGCGGCGUGCUUAACACAUGCCAGUCGAACGGAAAGGCCCUGCUUUUGUGGGGUGCUCGAGUGGCGAACGGGUGAGUAACACGUGAGUAACCUGCCCUUGACUUUGGGAUAACUUCAGGAAACUGGGGCUAAUACCGGAUAGGAGCUCCUGCUGCAUGGUGGGGGUUGGAAAGUUUCGGCGGUUGGGGAUGGACUCGCGGCUUAUCAGCUUGUUGGUGGGGUAGUGGCUUACCAAGGCUUUGACGGGUAGCCGGCCUGGGAGGGUGACCGGCCACAUUGGGACUGAGGUACGGCGCAGACUCCUACGGGAGGCAGCGGUGGGAAGUAUGGCACAGUGGGCGGGAGCCUGAGACGGCGACGCCGCGUGCGGGAUGACGGCCUUCGGGUUGUAAACCGCUUUCGCCUGUGACGAAGCGUGAGUGACGGUAAUGGGUAAAGAAGCACCGGCUAACUACGUG